rnacentral:rRNA from 1 species
GGUGAACGCUGGCGGCGUGCCUAAGACAUGCAAGUCGAGCGGGCCGCGGGGUUUUACUCCGUGGUCAGCGGCGGACGGGUGAGUAACGCGUGGGUGACCUACCCGGAAGAGGGGGACAACCCGGGGAAACUCCGGCUAAUCCCCCAUGUGGACCCGCCCCUUGGGGUGUGUCCAAAGGGCUUUUCCCGCUUCCGGGUGGGCGCGCGUCCCAUCAGCUUGUUGGUGGGGUGAUGGCGCACCAACGCGGCGACGGGUAGCCGGCCUGAGGGGGUGGCCGGCGGCAGGGGCACUGAGGCACGGGCAUAACGCCUACGGGAGGCAGGAGUUAGGAAGCUUCCGAAAUGGGCGCAAGCCUGACGGCGCGACGCAGCUAGGAGGAGGGAGCCCUUCGGGGUGUAGACUCGUGAACCCGGGACGAAACCGACGACGAGGGGACUGACGGUAUCGGGGUAAUAGCGCCGGCCAACUACGUG